CGAAAGCCUGACGGAGCAAUACCGCGUGAGGGAUGAAUGCCUAUGGGUUGUAAACCUCUUUUUUCAGGGAGGAAUAAAUGACGUGUACCUGAAGAAUAAGCAUCGGCUAACUCCGUGCCAGCAGCCGCGGUAAGACGGAGGAUGCAAGUGUUAUCCGGAAUCACUGGGCGUAAAGCGUCUGUAGGUGGCUUAAUAAGUCAACUGUUAAAUCUUGAAGCUCAACUUCAAAAUCGCAGUCGAAACUAUUAGACUAGAGUAUAGUAGAGGUAAAGGGAAUUUCCAGUGGAGCGGUGAAAUGCGUAGAGAUUGGAAAGAACACCGAUGGCGAAGGCACUUUACUGGGCUAUUACUGACACUCAGAGACGAAAGUUAGGGUAGCAAAUG
rnacentral:rRNA from 1 species